AUUUAUCUUAGUGUAAAGAGCACAUAAAUUUUUGAUAUUUAAAGUAUUCUAUAGGUGGUUA
rnacentral:tRNA from 1 species